GACGAACGCUGGCGGCGUGCUUAACACAUGCAAGUCGAACGGAAAGGCCCUGCUUUUGUGGGGUGCUCGAGUGGCGAACGGGUGAGUAACACGUGAGUAACCUGCCCUUGACUUUGGGAUAACUUCAGGAAACUGGGGCUAAUACCGGAUAGGAGCUCCUGCUGCAUGGUGGGGGUUGGAAAGUUUCGGCGGUUGGGGAUGGACUCGCGGCUUAUCAGCUUGUUGGAGGGGUAGUGGCUUACCAAGGCUUUGACGGGUAGCCGGCCUGAGAGGGUGACCGGCCCCAUUGGGACUGAGAUACGGCCCAGACUCCUACGGGAGGCAGCAGUGGGGAAUAUUGCACAAUGGGCGGAAGCCUGAUGCAGCAACGCCGCGUGCGGGAUGACGGCCUUCGGGUUGUAAACCGCUUUCGCCUGUGACGAAGCGUGAGUGACGGUAAUGGGUAAAGAAGCACCGGCUAACUACGUG
rnacentral:rRNA from 1 species